AUACUUACCUGGCGUGCAGCUAUCGUGAUCAAGCAGGCGGUUCCCCCAGAGUGAGGCUGCUCCGUUGCACUGCGGAGUGGUUGACCAAUGCGAUUAUUUUUAUUUUAUAUAAGUUUCACUUCUACUAUGUGUGACUUGCACACA
rnacentral:snRNA from 9 species